UAAGGAACAUUGCUCAAUGGGAGAAAUCCUGAAGCAGCAACGCCGCGUGGAGGAUGAAGGGUCUAUGACUUGUAAACUCCUGUAAAGAAGGAAAAAAUUCCCAUUAGAUGGGAGAUGAUGGUACUUCUGGAGUAAGCCCCGGCUAACUACGUGCCAGCAGCCGCGGUAAUACGUAGGGGGCAAGCGUUGUCCGGAUUUACUGGGUGUAAAGGGUGCUCAGGCGGAUUUGUAAGUCAGAGGUGAAAUCUUACAGCUUAACUGUGAAACUGCCUUUGNUACUGCAAGCCUAGAGUAUGGAAGAGAGUGAUGGAAUAUCUGGUGUAGCAGUGAAAUGCGUAGAUAUCAGAUAGAACACCAAUGGCGAAGGCAGUCACUUGGUCCAUUACUGACGCUAAAGCACGAAAGCGUGGGUAGCAAACA
rnacentral:rRNA from 1 species